rnacentral:tRNA from 1 species
GCCUGGGUGGCUCAGUUGGUUAAGUGUCUGACUUCGGCUCAGGUCAUGAUCUCAUAGCUUGUGGGUCCAAGCCCCAUGUCAGGCU